GUUUAAAUAAAAAACCGUUAUCUUUUUCAGUUAUUCACUGAAGAUUUCAAGUUACUCUUUGUGCACUCCGGAGUCAUUUGACCAACACUGACCUUGAUAUGUAUCACAUUGUUGAAUUUAAUACAACAAAGGAAGUAGAGGUUGUACCAGACAACUGGGUAAAUAAUGAUAUAUGCAGAUGGCCAAAAUUUUAAAAUAGGGGAAGAAUGAGGGCUGCUGUAAUUUCCAAAGAAGUACCAACUGUAGACUGGGAUACAUUUGCUGUCCGUGUAUAUACAAGUGAGUCUUUCCAAGCUGCUAGAAGCAAGCUGCCAAGAGCAGAAAUUGUGUCAGAUCUACAGACAGCAGAAGAAGAUAAUGUACCUGCUGUAAAAAAAAGAAUCAGAAGGAUAAAUAGAAGAUUUCUCGAAUCUGACAGUGAAAGUGAAGGUGAAAAGAAAGCUUAUAAACCUCCUGCCAAAAGAGCCAGGCCUCACUUUGCAGAGGCACCACAGGUGACUCCACCAGACAUGAAUAGGCCUGUCACUUCAGUUUUAAUACCUUCAGUCAUUCACCAGCAAACCGUUCAGGAACAACCAAGCCCAGUAUGUGCAGAUUGAGUGUUUUGGUUUUUCUGGAGGUAUGACUGUGAAGGAAACUGUUUGGAGAAUUAUGCAAAAACAAAUGACCUGGCAAAAAAAAUAAACUGGACAGGAGCAAAUGAAAAAAAUCCAUUUAAAUCGACCAAACUGAAAGAUAUAAUCUUGGCUGCUGUCAGGAGAAACAGUUUCACUGCAAACGCAACGGAUGGGGAAAUAGAAAAACACAUAAAAAGGUGGCUUCAGCUUUCUGGGGACAGGGAAGGAGGAAGAAAGGACAGAGAAAAGAGACAUGAAAGGAAUAGUCAAGUUACUGAAUGAAGUUUCACUACAAAAAGACAAGGGUUUAACAAGAAAUUAAUUGGGUUUAUCUAGCUUAAAUAAAAAAAUGUCAAUGAAAAAAUAUGAAAACUAUUUAAAUUGCAUUAACUCAUUAAGUAUCCAUAUAUUAUUUUUUAAAAUUGUAUUAUAUAUUUUUUUGUUUCAAGUGAAAGGUUUUAAUUAAUUUAACGUGUAAUUUAUGGAAUACAAUUAUAUGACAGUGUGUUUUUUUAAUACAAUGAUAUAUAAUAGCGAUUACUUUCAAUGUGUUAGAUUAGUAAAUACAAUAUUACAGUAAUAUCAGUACAGUGUAUCUUUUGCUCUUAUUUAUUUGGUUCAGAAUAUUUUACACAUUUACUUUAAAGGCCUUAGUUGACUAUAAUAAAUUUUAACUGUUUAUUGCUUAGUAAUUGUUCAUUUACUGCUGAGAAUUGUUUUUAAUUAAAUGCAUUCAAUGUAUUAAAUAUCUGUUUUUUUCUACAGUAAACAUAAAUAAUUAUGACUCAUAUACAAUUACAACUGCAAUAUCCUAUCUAUUAUCUUUUUUGCCUGUCAUCAAAAUUUUCACUUUCCUGAAGUAAGUGACUUCAUUAUCAAUUAAAUGAUCAAAUAUAGUACAGAUGUCAAACAUGAGGUAGAUUGCCUGAUACCACUGUGUAUCUUUUUAAACAGUAAUUUGCAAUUAUAUCAUUUGAUAAUACACCUAUUUUACCUUCUGUACUUAUACCUGUCCUUCUUUCAUCAGCAGCUUCAACUUCCUGUUUAAUCAUCUGAACUGAUCUUCUCAAACCAAUAAUUGAAGACCAGUGUGAGGCAGGAAAUUAUGGCUAUUAUAUAAUUAUUUUUUAUUAUUAACUUAUAAUAAAUAAAAAUACUUGAUAAAAA